rnacentral:lncRNA from 1 species
CCCCACUAAUGUUUUUUUGAUGUAAUUUUGCAUUGCAAGCCCAUGCUAAAGUGAAUAUGAGGAAUCCAAUCUUGCAUCCAUCUUCAAGAAGCGCUGAAAAUACUUGUUUUCUUUAUAACUAUUUAAUGAUUUAUAAAGUUUGAAAGAUAAUUAACAUCCAAAUAACAUGCACACAACAAAAUUUUCAAAAAGAAAAUAUAAAAAUAUUGAUCUUAAAAUUCUUAAAUUUCAUGAAGCAAAAAAAAAAACACUAUCAUAUACAUCAUUUACCAAAUGACAUAUUUAAUAACUUGGAUUGAAACAUGAGAAUAAUCUUAAUUUUCUAAGUUUUAAAUUUUUUGCAAGCCUGUGCAUAACAGUGAGUUAAUUAAACAUGCGAUCAUCGUAAUCUGUAACUUUUUCCUUUCUUCUUAAUCCCCUAAAAAGAUAAAAAAAAUCCCAAGCGAAUUAUAAAAGUUUCAUCCAACAAAGAUCUCUCUAAUUAUAUUCCCAUUUUCAAUACCAUUUUCACAAUACUAACUUAAUACAUAUAAUCCAAAAUUCAAUCUAAUUUUCAUCCAAAAGUUAAAACACUCCAUUUUCACAACACAAAUGUAAUUUUCAACACCCUUACAUACUUGAUGCCUAAUUAAAAGAAGUAUCGCACCUUAAAAGCCUUUGGUCGACACUCAUGUGUUUUGGAGACAACCAUGUGUCAUUGACCCCCAAUUAGACGUUCUGUCAUUCACUUCUUCUUCCGUAGCUACAAAAUGUAAAUAAAUGUCAAAUGUUAAAAAUGAGAUCAACAGGUGUACCAAUUGAAAUGAACAAUAAUUGAUCUUGAUUGGGAGUCCUCCAAAUUAUGUUUAGGAGUGGAGGCUGAAUUCAAGAUUCUUUAUGAAGCCUAAACCACUAGAAAACCAAAUUAAGACAGAUAAACAAUAAAGUUUAACAUACAUAGUAGAAAAACAGCUGGAGUAGACAUAAUAUAGAGCAAAGAGGGGAGAACUGAUACUUAGCAAACCCAGAUUAAAGCUCGUUUACACUUGAUUACAUCAUAAAGGAGAAAGAGCAAUGCAGUGGGUCUCCACCUGUUGUUUGUUGUUGAUUCUAGAACUACACUUCAUCCUAUAUCCAUCUUUGUCACUUCUUUGGUUGGAUUUCACAAAUGAACAAAAAAAGACUUUAUUAACCGAAAGCAAGUUCCUUUCUUUAACAUAUGAGUACACAGAACAAACUCUUCAAAAGUCAUAAACUAAAAAAAAUGUUAAGAUUUUAUGCAUUCACUUCCCCCAAAAUUUCGAUCAGAUAAAAAAUGAUUUAGAAAUUUGAGGGCACCGUUCACAUCUGAAGAGCAAAGAGAAGCUAAAAUGAAAAAUCCAAACUUGAAAAUUCUAUUCGAUUUUAUGUGGGUAUCUUUUUUAAAUAUAACCCAUUAACCAACAGAUUCUAUAAGAGAGAAAUCACACAAUCUUACGGUUGUUUCUUAGAGAGAGAUGUAAAUAGAAGGGUAAGGAAAAAGAAGUGUGUCGCAUUUGAGAGGAACCACAUGAGAAGAAGAGAGAUAGAAGCAGACCAUGACGAAAAGCAAAAUAGACGAAGGAUUACCUAGAAGAGGCCAACGAAAUCUGAUGAAUCAAAGAGACGACAAGUGGAAGGAUCUGGUAGGAUGAGUCAAAGGUGAUGGAAGAAACUCGAUCAAUCGUUGGGCUAAGAAGCGGUUGGGUUCUUUGAAGAAAAAGGAAUCAAGCAUCAGUCGGUGUAAUGUAGUAGAUAACAGUGGGACGGUGGCGUCAGAGGGAGAAUCGGUUGGACUGAGGAGGUGCAAGGACGUCGUAAAAAGAGAGAAUAAUUCGACAGUGGUAGGCGACACCACUCAUAGUGGGAGAGGCUUCAAGAAAAACAGAAGACAGGAAGUGAAAAACACCACUCCGAUAACAAGUAAAAAGAAAGGUAAAAAAAUGACACCGAUGAGCGAUUGGGGGCUCUCCGACGUUAAAAGGAGAAAAUAUUGUGGAUGGGUGGGGGAAGAAAGAUGAGGAGAUUAGAAGCGAUAAGCAAAUAUGGAUCAAUGCUAUUGAAACUUAGAGGUGGUGUAGCAAAGGUGCA